CUGGAGCUCAAGGAGGGAGGACUGGAUGCCUUGCAAGCACCCUGGACAGAGUAGUGCUACUGCCAGAGGCUGGGGAAGCUAGAGACAAUUCCCGGCUGGCUGCUAAGACUGGCCUGCUGAGACCCUGAGAGAUGAGGAAAAACUUUUGGGUUAUUUAUAAAACCAGAAUAUGUUGAUAGGCAGUAGAUGGUACAACACCAUUCUCACAGGCAACUGAUGGACCCUGGGUCUCAACUGCUUCUUAAGAGGAGAUCAACAGGAUCUGCUGAUGCUAAAGAGGCCUGGGUCUGCGAUCACUCAAGGGUGA